CGGACGGGUGAGUAACACGUGGAUAACCUACCUAUAAGACUGGAAUAACUUCGGGAAACCGGAGCUAAUACCGGAUAAUAUAUUGAACCGCAUGGUUCAAUAGUGAAAGACGGUUUUGCUGUCACUUAUAGAUGGAUCCGCGCCGCAUUAGCUAGUUGGUAAGGUAACGGCUUACCAAGGCAACGAUGCGUAGCCGACCUGAGAGGGUGAUCGGCCACACUGGAACUGAGACACGGUCCAG
rnacentral:rRNA from 1 species